rnacentral:rRNA from 1 species
CGGCGGACGGGUGAGUAACACGUGGAUAACCUACCUAUAAGACUGGGAUAACUUCGGGAAACCGGAGCUAAUACCGGAUAACAUAUUGAACCGCAUGGUUCAAUAGUGAAAGGCGGCUUUGCUGUCACUUAUAGAUGGAUCCGCGCCGUAUUAGCUAGUUGGUAAGGUGACGGCUUACCAAGGCAACGAUACGUAGCCGACCUGAGAGGGUGAUCGGCCACACUGGAACUGAGACACGGUCCAG